AUUGAUUGGUUGAUUGGUUGAUUGAUUGAUUGAUUGAUUGAUUGAUUGAUUGAUUGAUUGAUUGAUUGAUUGAUUGAUUGAUUGAAGCUAAGUCCCCAGCAUUUUACCUUGUUUAUUCCAGACUGGCGACCUGUCCAGGGUGUCCCCUGCCUACGCUGGGAUAGGCUCCAGCAGCCCCGUGACCCCGAUAGGGAAAAACGGAAUAGAAAAUGAAUGAAAAUGAAAUGAAUGCUUACUCUAAUUGAAAAACGCUGUUUAUUCCUUCUUUUAAGUCUAACAGUUUUUAUUUUAUUUUAUUUAACAUACCCCCACCCCGGUAUUUAUUCCUACUUUUCUCCUAACAUUUGCUCUUCUAUUUUAUUCUAUUUACUCCUAAGGUCCUACCAGAUUUCUUUGAUUUAUUUUAAACUAAAAAUCACUCAAAUCUUUUCACUAAACAUUUUUCUCACAAAACCCUGUUGAUUGUAUUUCCGAUGGAAAUCCACUGAAAAGCCUCCUAAACACACCAGGCUUCCAUGGUUUGGUCAGAUGCCUUUUAAAGGUUAAAGCCACUGCAUUUUUGGCUGCAUGAGAAUUCAUCUCUAGAAAAACAGCUAUAAACUCAGGCUUUCCCCACAGCUUUUCCAGGUCCCUGUAAACAAGCAAGUGAAGCUUUGUGGCAAUCUCUCUACUGUCCAUCUGAACUUUGUCAUCUUUGAGAAACUCCACAAUUGUUUCAACCAGCUCUGCUACAGGAUACAUGUCCUCGUCAUGAAGGCUUGACCCAGAUGUUGAAACUGAAAGUGAGAUCAUCUUUGAAACGGAAUCACUCAAAGCUUUUUCCAGAUACCAGAGGCUGGACGUUCUGCGACUGCACUGAAAAAAACUGGAAAUGUGGGGUUGUUCAUUUACAAACACUAAGCAUGUUUGUUUAAUAUGAACAAAUUAUGUUUACCUUCAAAACAUAUUACAAUCUUGAAGAUCACACUUGAUUUCUAGCAGUGUUAGAUUUAUAUAUUGAAAUCAUGUUGACAACAGGAAACAGUUGUGGUUUGGCCUUUGCCCCUUAAUUUUGGACUGGUAAACCCCGUUAUUCCAGAAGCAUUCCAGGAUGGGAAACGUUGCAGUCAGCCAUUUUGAAACAGCUGCAAGCAGCUGCUGGCUGGAGGAACUUGUAAAAGCCCUCGAGGACAGGUGGGGGGAGGUGUGCGCGGUGUGUUACACUUUGACGCCGCAGGCAGAUUCAGCGGUGAUGCAAUGGCAGUUAUUUCCAAUGUCACGCAUGGCAGGGAAGAGUGGUGAGUACUGUUCCGCCGUGGGAGUUUGCUCUUGAUGAAGGGGCAGUAGGCGCUCGCGGGAACGGCGCCCCCCCCCCUUAGGCAGAAAAUUUGUGGGGGGAAUUCAUCGUCACUUAGUGGAUUUCUUUUUGCUAGACAAAUCCCACAUUGUGGAGACCGAAAUUGAAGGAAAUGUGGAAAGCUUGACAUUAUUUAGCUUUUCCAUACCGUCCGUAGCUCAAAGGGCGGCAUUAUUUGAUCAGCGCACUUCCGUCUCAGUGGCUGUCAAUCAUUCUCCGUGCCGCGUCUGUUCGGUUUGUCAAAUUUACAUAAAUCUUCGAUUUCAAGAAGAAGGGUUGUGUUUCCAUUCUAUAAUGCUGAACUUAUAUUUCUGUGGAGAUUCUAACUUUAAGAGAUUAAAAUUGAUAGAAAAGAUUCAUGUCCUGGCUUGGGGAAAAAGUGUGUUGUAAAGUUUUACAGUCUUAAAUGGUGGUAAUCUACUUUACAGAUUUGACCUGUUUUGGGGUAAAUGAGGGGAACACCCUAUGGGUGGGGUGAUUAGAUACUCCUGAUCUGCUAGCUUAGUUUGCAGUCUCCAUUUCAAAAUUCGCGGGAUUCUCAGUGGGCGGUUUGAAUUCCUUGGUGGGGGGUGUAAUGCAGUUGGUCUCAUUCCUUUAGAAUAGUUUAUUUUUCCAUUGCAGCUAUUGUUUUCAAAACCAUUCAAUCCGUUUAGUUAGUACAAUGAGGAAACACAGCUGUGGACUUGUUUCUAUUUCUUUUUAUUUCAAACUGAACAGGAAACUCAGAAAUCUCUCUCCUGCCUACAGAGCUCAUCACACACUAACUGCUCCUCCCUGAUGAUGGGGUCCAUGAUCUGGUCUUCACUGAGUCAGAUGAAGCUGUCCAUCCUGCACUUUGGCAGCUCUGCAGCUGUUCGGCUAGGCGAGUUGGUCCUGGCCUUUGGCAACCCGCCCGCCUUGAAAAGGACUGUUACCCAGGGAACAGUGAGCACAACAAGGAGGAUCAAAGACCCUGGCCUCCAACAGGACAUUUAUCCAGUGUAGCGCCUUCAUCACUGUGAGCUCCCACUGUGGGUUGGGUCUCUUCCUUUCCAUUGCUCUCAUAGAUUGUCACCCCUCCCCACCACCACCACCCCACCCCACCCAGUCAGCGGAGCAGAGUGCCCUUUUUUACCAAGAGGGACUUCGUUCCAGACAUCGUGGACGCCACAACACCAGUUGGGUUCCGGAGACGUACAUUCUUCAGGAGGCACAGGAACUGGAGAACAGGAAAUGGGUCUGAUUGUGUCCUCACCGUUUUCCAGGUGGAGCUGAAGAGUGGGGGUUAUUUGCAGGCCACCAUGGAAAAGAGUGAAUGAGGAAGAAGACCUUGCCCUCGUUAAUUCAUCGAUCCCCCUGCCUUAUCUUCAGUUCGGCAGCGGUGCGGCUGCACGGCCAGGGGAGGCAGUCUUUGUUUUCAGGAGCCCUUCUGGAUUGCCACUGUGGUUGGGUCAGUGUGUCCGUGAGGAUCGUUCAGAACUUACUGACUGAAGCUUUUCCCUGAUUACCCCACCCUAUCCGAACAGCCUCCCCAGCCCCUAACCCAAAAACUUUACCUGCCCCACCCCCCACUUGACCCCUGUAGUAGGUGGUGUCAAAGAUCUGCUCAAAUGUGCAUUGAUCCUAAACCUAACCCCAACCCUAAUGAACCCUUAACCCUAAUCCUAAACCUAUCCAACCCCCACUUGACCCUAACCCUAGUGAACUCCCCCCCAACCAUAGCAUAACCUCCACCCAUCCGUGACCUGACAAUAAUCCUAACCCCAACCCUAGUGAAACCAGUCCCCCCACCCCUAAUCCUAGUUAGGUUUUAUAUAUGUUGUAAAGAAUGUACAUUUAUUACAACAUGUAUUAAACAGUUCCUAUGUGUGUGUUGGUGUGUAUAAAUGUGUUGUUGACUCUUAUAGUUCAUCAAAUGUGUAACAUCACAAAAAAGUUAAUAAAGGUUUUAUUGUUUCA